GGAUUGAAGGCUGAAAUUCGCCUUCAUGAAGCCGGAAUUGCUAGUAAUGGCAGGUCAGCAUACUGCCGUGAAUACGUUCCCGGGCCUUGUACACACCGCCCGUCACACCAUGAGAGUUGGAAAUACCCGAAGCCUGUGAGCUAACCUUUAGGAGGCAGCAGUCGAAGGUAGAGCCAAUGAUUGGGGUGAAGUCGUAACAAGGUAGC
rnacentral:rRNA from 1 species